CGCACGGGUGCGUAACGCGUAUGCAACCUACCUUAUACCGGGGGAUAGCCCGGAGAAAUUCGGAUUAAUACCCCAUAGUAUUAUUAGAUCGCAUGGUUUGAUAAUUAAAGGUUACGGUAUAAGAUGGGCAUGCGUCCUAUUAGCUAGAUGGUGAGGUAACGGCUCACCAUGGCGACGAUAGGUAGGGGGCCUGAGAGGGUGGUCCCCCACACUGGUACUGAGACACGGACCAGACUCCUACGGGAGGCAGCAGUGAGGAAUAUUGGUCAAUGGGCGCAAGCCUGAACCAGCCAUGCCGCGUGCAGGAAGAAUGCCCUAUGGGUUGUAAACUGCUUUUAUUUGGGAAUAAACCUCUUUACGUGUAGAGAGCUGAAGGUACCAAAUGAAUAAGCACCGGCUAACUCCAUGCCAGCAGCCGCGGUAAUACGGAGGGUGCAAGCGUUAUCCGGAAUCAUUGGGUUUAAAGGGUCCGCAGGCGGUCUGAUAAGUCAGUGGUGAAAGCCUAUUGCUCAACAAUAGAACUGCCAUUGAUACUGUUAGACUUGAAUUAGGUCGGAGUGGGCGGAAUAUGACAUGUAGCGGUGAAAUGCUUAGAUAUGUCAUAGAACACCGAUAGC
rnacentral:rRNA from 1 species